rnacentral:rRNA from 1 species
AGUGAACGCUGGCGGUAGGCCUAACACAUGCAAGUCGAACGGCAGCACACUAAUAUCUUGCGCUUACGGGUGGCUAGUGGCUGACGGGUGAGGCAUCCAUCCGGAACUACUCUUUCGUGCUGGAUCUCGUAGGGAAACUUACGCUAAUACCGCAUACUACCUACGGGUGAAUGCACGGGAUCUUCGUUCCUUGCGCGAUUGAAUGAGCCGAGGUCGGGUUAGCUAGUUGGCGGGGUACUGGCCUACCAAGGCGACGAGCCGUAGCUGGUCUGAGAGGAUGAUCAGCAACACUGGCAGAGAGACACGGCCCAGACACCGACGGGGAGAAGCAGUGGGGAAUAUUGGACGAGGGGGGAGAGCGUGAUACAGCAAUACCGCGUGGGGGAAGAAGGCGUUCGGGUGGGAGAGCCCUGAUGUUGGGAGAGAAGAGCAGCAGGUUAGUACGGGGCGGUACUGACGGUACCGAAAGAAUAAGCACCGGCUAACUUCGUG